rnacentral:rRNA from 1 species
ACGAACGCUGGCGGCGUGCCUAAUACAUGCAAGUCGAACGGUCUUUCUAUGGAAGCUUGCUUCCACUGAGAAGAUAGUGGCGAACGGGUGAGUAACACGUGGGUAACCUGCCCAUAAGAGGGGGAUAACAUCCGGAAACGGGUGCUAAUACCGCAUAGUUUUCUUGAUCGCAUGAUCGGGAAAGGAAAGACGGCCUUUGUGCUGUCGCUUAUGGAUGGACCCGCGGCGUAUUAGUUAGUUGGUGAGGUAACGGCUCACCAAGACGAUGAUACGUAGCCGACCUGAGAGGGUGAUCGGCCACAUUGGGACUGAGACACGGCCCAAACUCCUACGGGAGGCAGCAGUAGGGAAUCUUCCGCAAUGGACGAAAGUCUGACGGAGCAACGCCGCGUGAGUGAAGAAGGUUUUUCCGGAUCGUAAAACUCUGUUGUCAGAGAAGAACAAGUUGGAGAGUAACUGCUCCAGCCUUGACGGUAUCUGACCAGAAAGCCACGGCUAACUACGUGCCAGCAGCAGC